AUGAACGCCAGAGCGGUCGUGCCGGAGGAGACCGAGCUGGCCGCGCUGCUCCGCGUCAAUGCCGACACAGGGAGGGCCGAUGAGGUGUACAGGGUGCUGCACCGGACGCGCACGCUCGUCAGGCAGGUGUGUGAGGCGACCGCCCAGGUGGUCGAGGCCUGGUUCCGGUCCGACGCGGCGGCGGAGGCCGGUGUGGAGAAGUGGGACGCCAGGAAGGUCAGGGAAGGGGUGGUGAAAGGCGGCGGCGACUGGCAUGGCCAGGGCUGGCUUGGCAAGGGGCAAUGGGACGUCGGCCGGAGCGAGAUGGACAAGAAUGGCACAUGCCAGCGUUGCGGCGAGAAGCUUGUGUGCAUAGACAUCGAUCCGUCCGUGGCGGAGAGCUUUUCCAAGUCGCUCACCGAGCUCGCGUGCAAGCGGGAGGUCAGGGACGAUUUCGUGCGGUUUCAGGUGUUGCCAUGA
rnacentral:rRNA from 1 species